rnacentral:lncRNA from 1 species
CUUUACCAGGCAAGGUGGGGCAUACCUAUAAUAUCAGCUACUUGGGAGACUGGGGCAGGAAGAUUGCAAGUUUGAGGCUAGCCUCAGCAAAUUAGUGAGGGCUUAAGCAACUUAGUGAGAUCCUGUCUAAAAUUAAAAAAAUAAAAAUAAAAAAGGCUGAGGUUGUAGCUCAGUGGUAGAGCACUCCUGGGUUCAGCCCCCAGCAUCACACACAUAAAAAAGUCAUCUUCUCCUAUCUCUUGUUCAUCCAGCUCCUACCACCUCCCUAAAAAUAACUCUUAGACCUGGGGUUAUUGCCUUUACAUGCAUGAAGUCCUGGGUUCAAUCUCUAGUACUGAAGGGGAAAAGAAAAAA